AAGAUAGCUAAAAGUAAUCGUUUUAAUCCAGUUUCUGUUGUUUGCAGAUGUCGAAAUAAGUUAUCCAAUAAUUAUUUAUUCGGUGUAAUAGUUAAAACAAAAUGAUUUUAUUUUGACUGAUUGUAUUUAGAGUUGAUUAAGAACUUAACAGUCGGUAUUCAAAGUUUUAAGUUUGAAACCUAAUUACUUUAUAGUUCUAGCUUAAUACAUCUGAAUAUAGGAGUCCGGCUGGGGUACUAUCGAUAGCACUGAGGAUUUGAUACUAUCGAGUUUUCUACCGUUAGAUUUAACCCUUUGAUUAAUUUUAUCCGUUAGAUUAUACUAUUCAACCAACCACCCAUUCAAUCCUAGAGGGCUCACAUCAUGCUAACCGUAUAUUUUUCAAUCCAAAAACUAAAAAACUAAUAGCAUCAAUGGCUUGGUGCUAUUAAUAAUAUCCCAGCCUAAUUCCUGAAUAUAGUAAGUUGCAAUAUCUUAUAGUAGCAUAAAAGGACAUUUUACCCUUUACAUGAAAAUUAUAGGAAAAACUUCAAAAACCUCCCAUGUGGUUUCGUAGUUUCUCACUUUGCCCCCCUGUGGUUUAAAAUGUAUCAAUUUGCCUCACUGUGGUUUUGUUUUUCUCUUUUUCUUAUCAAUUUCAUUAUUUUUUUUCCUUAAAUCAGUAAUAAAGUUAAAAUUAAAAGGUACUAAAGUGAAUAUUUGAUAAAUCUAGAUGGGCAUCUGAAGUUUUUUGUAUAUAAUUUAACGAAAUAUUAACGAAAAAGCUACCGAAAAGAUAAAAACGAAACCAUAGGGGGGCAAAUUGAUACACUUUAAACCAUAGGAGGGCAAAGUGAGAAACAACGAAACCACAUGGGGGGUUUUUGAAGUUUUCCUAAAAUUAUAUGGUAGCAAAAUUGAAAAUCCAAAAUGGGACAAAGUGGAUCCAUGAGAGGCGUAAAACUUCAGUGGAGAGUUUUCUGACAAAAUUUCGUUGAAUAGCUUUCGAUCCGUUGUCAUAUAUCAAUUUUGUCUCAAUCCAAAAAUCUGUUGAGUAUUUUUAAUACCAAAAUCUAAAAAUAAAAUCUUAAAUCUUAAACAAAAAUAUGCGCAAAUUUG
rnacentral:lncRNA from 1 species